rnacentral:misc_RNA from 1 species
CUGCGUCUUCCCACUCUCUGCUAGAAUUAUACAUAUUGGAAAGCAAUGUACAGUACCAUAAUUUUCUGUGUCAAAUUUAGCAUUUUGCUAUCCUAAUUCCUGUUUCAAUUUCAUUAUGAGCUUUACGCGCACUUAAUGAAUCUCCCAGACACCUCUGUCAGGACAAAUGGGCAUUGACCAGACCAGUUCUUCUGCUUGCUGCAUGCUACAUGAUCUUUCAAGAAGAUCCACCAUACAAGCAUAAUACUUCAGGUUGGGUUUCAGAAAAUGUUACUGCAAUCCAUCAAACGCAUGCUUCUUUCCUUAACCAGUCCUGCAUUAACAUAAGCUGAGAGAAGAGACCUCAAAUAAGCGCAUUUGGUUUACCAUUUGAUCACUCCAUUUGUUGGAAAAUUUCUAUUGCGUAUUUUGCAUCUCCACACAUUCCAUAACUAGCUAUCAUUAUAUUCCAAGCAGUAGCAUCCCCGUCCUUCAAUGAGUUGAACAAUUAUCUUGAUUUUUCAAGCUGGCCACAUUUUGCAUACAUAUUAAUCUAUGCAGUAACAAGUGUUACAUUGAGGUCAAACCCUCCUUCCUUAUCGUAAUGGUGAACCUUUUCUCCUUUCUCUGAAGAUCCAAGAUGAGAACCAGCUGAAAGUAUUGUAACCAGUGUUGCUGAGUUGGGCCUCAACUGUUGUGAGACCAUUUCAUCAAAUAAGAUUGUCUCAACAGCCUGACCACUCUGAGUAUACAAUGAGAUCAAUAUAUUCCAAGUGACAGUAUCUCAUUUUGACCUAGAAAAAAAUUCUUCGUGCAAUAGGUAAAUACCAUCUUUUCUAUACAUGUCUAUGAGUUAAUUGAUGAUAUAGAUAUCUUCAUCCGUACAACUUUUUAUUAUAUAACAAUGAAGAGACUGGCAUAGAAGGAUUGCUCCCACCUGAGAACAUGAAGAAAUCACGGAGACAAAUCUGUUUGAAUCAACUCCAAUUUCCAGAUAUUGCAGCACAAGGAGCGUUCCAGAACUCUUUACUCCAUGUAUGUUCUGUAUUAUUAGCCAUCUGAUCAAACAAUUA